UCCUUUGAAGAUUCCCCAUUGUUUGGGCUAUUAACAUACUUUCUGGGUGGAUGUUUAUCUUCUCUUGAAACUUUUACAGCAGGCGCACAGUGAAAGAAAACCCAGAGAAGCUCUUUCUAACCAAGCAGCAGCAGAAUCCUUCAGCGAGCGUAAUGCAACACAGCCAGCGCUCUCUCCUUUAUUUCAUCAGCCUCUAAUACCUAACAGUUCUAUGUAGGGAGGUCCUGCUACAGCUGGGUAAUGGGCUUACACUCUGCACUGAAGCCCCAGCGUCCACCAGGCUAGUAAAACCCGAGGCACUACCAAAGUCCAUCUGAAGAUGAAGCUUCUGCCCUCUAGAAGUCAGGCUAGAUCCAGGGGCAGUGAUCAAUCCAGCAGGCAGCAAUUUAUUGCAUCUAGUAUAGAUGUGAUACACCGAAUGCAGAGCUCUCUCCUGUUGACACUGUCAGUGCACCAGAACAAGAAGAGCAAGUAGAGUUGAUGGGAGAGCUUACCCCCGUGAUGAAGAUACUGUGACUUGGCAGAGAGUGUCACCAGGAGAAGGGUUUAUUGGCAGCCUGUUGAUCCUGUGACAAGGCCUGGAUCCUUUUAUCUAUAGAACAACAAGAGCCUGGGACAUUUGCUCUAAGUACUUCAACUGUCCAAUCAAACAAGGGUCACACUUUGCUCUGCUACUCAAACUGUCAUCAGACAUUUCACCCCUCUGUGGCCCCUAUCUAAAGGGAUAUUGUACUUGAUUCCUUCCUGCGGGGGAGGGGUGGAAUCUCACAACUUUUUCCCUUGCGAGAACUGUUAGAAUCUGCGGUGAACGGGCUUUGUUAGUUCAUACCUCAUGGUGGGUUGUGUAAUGCCAUUUACAAUAGGAAUUGGCGGCCUUAGGAAAGAUGUAAACUAACAGAUUUAGCUACAAAAGCCUUUCCUUCUCAAGACAACAAAGCCCCCUCUCCACAGCCUGAACUCCUCCUAAGGAAUCUACCCUUCACGCAGGCAAGCCAAUGAGUAUCCGUGUGGGCUGAAGUAAUCGGGAUAUAUGCCUUCUAUUUAGCUUGUGGGGUCAGGAGUUUGCCUGCUGUUUUUGCAGCUGUGAAUGGUGAGGAGCAAAGGCUUAAAUGACACAGAUUGCAACCUCCCACAAUGGUGGAUGGCAAGAGGAAGUUUCUGUGCAUCCCAUACAAAGAUGUUCAUGUAUUAACUGCAUUCCAGUAAAGUGCUGUGUGAUAGGUGACAGAGAGGUUCUGGGGAGCAUUAGGAAGAAAUGUAGAUCUAGCAGGCUGAAUGGAACUGUGGCUGCUCAAACAUCCUCUAACCUAUAAAUAAUCAGGGAGGAGCCGAGGAAGGACUUUUCUGGAUCCGGUUUCAUCUGAGAUUUCAGACCCCCCAAGAUCCUAGUGACAGCUCAUGUGAAAUUUAAAUCACAAAUGGCAGAAGUCUCUUGAGACCACCUAACUCCAAACUAAGAACCCAGCCCUACAUGGUGGGGCUGGAUGAAGUCAAUGGCAGCUGCUGGUUUGCAGCCUCGGAUCAUGUCCUAAAUUCAGGAAAUAGACCUCUCCCAAUUUCAGAUCACCUAGAACCAAAACCAUAUGAGAAUGUUGGGACCAACCCAUGUAUUCUAAUCUGAGCUCCACCUCAUCCCAAAAUUCAGUGCAGCUUGGAUGUGACAUUCCAGACUUGGCCCAUCUUUCUAUGUAACCAGUUAUACCAGUACAUUCACAACGAUAGCUGUACCAGUGUUCUGCUCGGAAAUAAGACAGAGCAGUCGUGCCUUGCUUCCCUGCCUGUGACACCCUUGGGAUUCCUAGCUUUCCCCUUCUCUCUGUCGUAUACAAAGGUGAUGAAUUCAAUAUUAAACACUGAGGAGAAGGUCUAGUUUUUGGUACCAUGGCUAGAAGUGCUAGAGCUGGAAAUGAAGAAGGACCAGAAGAUGCCAUAUUAAAACUCCAGGAAAGAGAAAAUGAUGAAUUACUGUCCCGGGAUUUUUUUUUCUGCCUCCUGCCAGAGGGAUGAGCUUUGUGGAGCAUUCAGUUAGUAAACCAGAGAGGGAACAUUGUAGCUCAGAUUCUCAUUAUGAAGUGGUGGUUCAUGACAUUGCUUGGGCUUGUGCCUGGCAGCCGAGUUAUUUGAGGCCACUCAGAUAUCCUACGGAAAUGAUACCACCUGGUUUUUAAAAGCUCCUCUGGUCUCUUCUGACUGCAGAGAGAGAGAUGUUUACCUGCCUUGCUCAGCUAUUUCACCUAAAACUGACUCAUGUCUAAUCUUGGACGACAUUAUAUUGGGAAAUAACCACCUCUGAGCACUACGCCUUCCCAGCUGCUAGAUACCUUCCGCGGGUGGUAGUUAAUGCCAUGGGUGGUUGAUGAAGGCACGGCUGGCGGAAACAAGCUCUCAGCCCCACCUCCAGCCCUGCCCCUUCUUCUGAGGCCCCGCCCCCAUGGGGAGGUGGGGCAGCGUGCCAUGUGCAUACCCUCUUCCCAACCACAGAGAGAGGUGGGGAGCAGGCAGAUGCGUGCUCACUCCAGCCUCUCCAGCUCCAAGGAGGGCAGAAGGCACACAGCAUAGCCCCAGUCUCCCCAGCCCUGGAGGAAGGUACACCAUGUGACCCAGCACAGCCCAGCCUAGCCUCUCCAGCCCUGGAGCACUGGGAGAGCGGGCUCCUGAGGCAGCAACACUCCACCCAGAAUGUUUAGUGAAGGCAUUCUGGGGACAGUGUGUGGGUGGGGCUAUGCCUGGUGGUUUGGGAAGGCCGAGCCUUCCCCUGCCUUACAUACCGGACACCCAUGCUAAAUGCAGGUCUGACGUAGCCAGGGCCUGUCUACACUUGAAAUGCUACAGAAGCACAGCUGGAGCACUUCAGUGUAAGCACUGUCUAUGCCAGGAGUCAGCAACCCCUGGCACGUGUGCCACAAAUGGCACGCAAGCCAAUUUUUACUGGCAUGUGGAGCUGAAGCUCAGCCCCGCCCCUCCCCCCUUCCCUGCCCAGCAGGGAGCCAGUGCUGUGGCCCCAGCCUCUGCCACAGCUCCAGCUUCCUGCAGGGAUGCAGGUGGGAGGGGCAUGCAUGUGUGCAUCCCUGGCUCUGCAUCCUGCUUCCAGAGGGGGCGGGGCUGGGCAGCCAGAACACAUGGUGCACUGUGGCCCAGGCCACGCCAUGCUGUUCCCCGAGGGCUGUGUGCAGGGAGCCUCUUCCUCUUUCACCCCGUUGUGCCCAGCCAGGCUGGAGCUGGGCAGGGAAGAAAUUCUGCUCCCUCCACCUCUCCUCACUCCAGAGCUGCUCCUGGGGGGCUGCGAGUCCCAGCACUGCUGCCCUGCCGGUGAGUGCGCUGGGGACACAGGAGGGGGGUGAAGGAGGAUGAGGAGGCAGGAGUUCACUGAGGGGCAUGGGGUGAUGCAGGGGAUCAGGCUGAGGGGGAUCAUGGAGCUGAGAGGAAUGAAGCUGGAGCAGAGGGCAGAUGUGAGGGAGGAUACAAUUUUACUUUGCAGAAGUUGCACUUUCCUUUA